rnacentral:rRNA from 1 species
CCUACGGGAGGCUGCAGUGAGGAAUAUUGGUCAAUGGCCGGAAGGCUGAACCAGCCAAGCCGCGUGAAGGUCGAAGGUGCCAAGCAUUGUAAACUUCUUUUGUCAAGGGACAAAAUCAGGCUCGAGAGCCUGACCGAGGGUACUUGAAGAAGAAGCCCCGGCUAACUACGUGCCAGCAGCCGCGGUAAUACGUAGGGGGCAAGCGUUAUCCGGAUUUACUGGGUGUAAAGGGGGCGCAGACGGCGAUGCAAGCCAGGAGUGAAAGCCCGGGGCCCAACCCCGGGACUGCUCUUGGAACUGCGUGGCUAGAGUGCAGGAGGGGCAGGCGGAAUUCCUGGUGUAGCGGUGAAAUGCGUAGAUAUCAGGAGGAACACCGGUGGCGAAGGCGGCUUGCUGGACUGCAACUGACGUUGAGGCCCGAAAGCAUGGGGAGCAAACAGGAUUAGAUACCCUAGUAGUC